AUGGGUGGGCCAGGAGGAACUUAGUUAAAUAUACUUACCAAUAAUUACAUACUUAGGUAUAAGGUUAUGUACAGUUAUACACGCUUAACUAUAUAGUUAAGCAUACUUAAGUAUAUAGUAUAUAUUUCACUAAGUAGCUGGCUUAGAAACUUGGUUUAGAUCUGCUACUGAACCAAGAGGCUCAGUGCCUGUGUAUUUUCUGUUUUUUUGCCCAAUAAUAAUAGAAGUUGGAAGAGACCACAAGGGCGACAUACCUUUUUCUCUUCCACUCCUUGACAAUUGUAAACAGCAGAGCAUUAGAUUUACGACAAGCAGCCAUAGAUAAGGGAAGGAAAGAAGGAAAAGUGGGGAAACUUGCAAAACGGCUGGUUGUAACCAGACUUCAAUAUCUUGGCAAUUGUUCCAAGGGCCUGCUCCAUAUCUGGAAAAUAACAGUAUUGCCAACGCCUGUCUGGAUCAGGCACACAACACUUUGGCAAGAAACUCCUCAUCUAAAUUUAUCACCCAACUCUCCUCCCAGGAGCUUAAAUGCUUUGGGAAGCCAGGCAAUAUGAGAAUCUGGAACAAGACCUACCCAUGGAAUUUUGCAAAGCUUCCAGGAUGUACAUAUAUGAGAGCAGACUUCCAGAACCGUUCUGCUCCACUUUCACAGCAUUGCAUCUGGGCAGGAUAUGCAGCCCCAAGGGAAUGCCAAAGCACACAAUAUUCCUCCUGACUGGCAGGAUCCAAGCCUUCAAGUUUGCCUGUUGACUGGCCAGCAUGGAAUCUGGUUUGAUGCCCACUAGACAGAAGUUUCACCAGCUUUUCCAGAUAAUGAUGUCAUCCAUGACUCUUGUUGAAAUAUAGUGAGAAAGCAUA